UGGACAACAGGUCUCUUACACGACGCACAGACUGCCAAUCAGCUAGAACAUUGUCAUCAGCACACCUAUGUAAGUGCAUGCCGAAAAUCAGGCAGCAAUCAGUUAUCACACCUCAUUGGAACUAUUCAGUUUAGAACCUAUUUCAUACGGCUGUGUGUAGACAACGUCUUCGCGCCGCCUUAAUCCCAAUACGAAGUACUUAGACAUCGGCGCGCGUUCAUUAGAAGCAGCAAUCUACAAAGGCGAACAGCAGAGUACCAGCGAGACGCUUGAAGUCGCAUUGAGUGGCGUUGAGUUCAACAAUUCAAUACGUUUCGACUGUGCUGUACGGACUUACGGGCAUAAUACGCGCGACCAGUCGGUUCAGUCAGUGAUCUUUGUCGGUUCGUGUUAGACGUGUGCGCGGUAGCUCAGAAACACUCGAGCUCGCAGACGAUAAAGAAUAAAAUAAAUAUAAAUAAAACAUUCACAAGCAACUAAAAUAUUUUAGUACCCACUACAACAACAACAAGUAGCAGCAACGAAAUCAUAUUUGUAUUUUCACUCCGACAAUACAAAUUUGAUUUUAUAUUUCGCUGCAAUAACCGUGAAAUAGAAAAAUAACAACAACAACUAACGAAAUUUCAUCGUAUUAACCAAGUCGUCGCAGUCCGUGUAGUUAGUCAAAUAAACGCGUGCAAAAAAAAAA